rnacentral:rRNA from 1 species
AGCGAACGCUGGCGGCAGGCCUAACACAUGCAAGUCGAACGGCAACACAGUAAGAGCUUGCUCCUACGGGUGGCGAGUGGCGGACGGGUGAGGCAUACAUCGGAUUCUACUUUUUCGUGGGGGAUAACGGAGGGAGACUUAUGCUAAUACCGCAUACGACCUACGGGUGAAAGCAGGGGAUCUUCGGACCUUGCGUGAUUGAAAGAGCCGAUGUCGGAUGGGCUAGUUGGCGGGGUAAGGGCCCACCAAGGCGACGAUCCGAAGCUGGUCUGAGAGGGUGGUGCGCCACACGGGAUGUGAGACAGGGUCCAGACUCCUACGAGGGGCAGCAGAGGGGAAUCUUGGACAAGGGGGGCAAGCGUGAUCCAGCACGACGGCGUGGGUGAAGAAGGCGUUCGGGUUUUAAAGCCCUUUUGUUGGGAAAGAAAAGCAGCAGGUUAAAACGCCGCUGUUCUGACGGUACCCAAAGAAUAAGCACCGGCUAACUUCGUG